rnacentral:rRNA from 1 species
AUUGAACGCUGGCGUCAUGCCUUACACAUGCAAGUCGAACGGUAACCGGUCUUCGGAUGCUGACGAGUGGCGAACGGGUGAGUAAUACAUCGGAACGUGCCUAGUAGUGGGGGAUAACUACUCGAAAGAGUGGCUAAUACCGCAUGAGAUCUACGGAUGAAAGAAGGGGAUCGCAAGACCUUGUGCUACUAGAGCGGCCGAUGGCAGAUUAGGUAGUUGGUGGGAUAAAAGCUUACCAAGCCGACGAUCUGUAGCUGGUCUGAGAGGACGAUCAGCCACACUGGGACUGAGACACGGCCCAGACUCCUACGGGAGGCAGCAGUGGGGAAGUUUGGACAAUGGGCGCAGGCCUGAUCCAGCAAUGCCGCGUGCAGGAUGAAGGCCUUCGGGUUGUAAACUGCUUUUGUACGGAACGAAAAGCCUUGGGUUAAUACCCUGGGGUCAUGACGGUACCGUAAGAAUAAGCACCGGCUAACUACGUGCCAGCCGCCGCGGUAAUAC